UAUGGCUCAGAAUCAACGCGGGCGGCGCGCCUAACACAUGCAAGUCGAACGAGAAAGCGGGGGCAACCUCGCAAGUAAAGUGGCGUACGGGUGAGUAACACGUGGGUAAUCUACCCUUUAGUGGGGAAUAACGCUGGGAAACCGGCGCUAAUACCGCAUAAGCUCGAGAGAGGAAAGCAGCAAUGCGCUGAAGGAGGAGCCCGCGGCCGAUUAGCCAGUUGGUAGGGUAAUGGCCUACCAAAGCAAAGAUCGGUAGCCGGCCUGAGAGGGCACACGGCCACACUGGCACUGAAACACGGGCCAGACUCCUACGGGAGGCAGCAGUGGGGAAUCUUGCACAAUGGGGGAAACCCUGAUGCAGCGACGCCGCGUGAGCGAUGAAGCCCUUCGGGGUGUAAAGCUCUUUCGGCAGGGACGAUUAUGACGGUACCUGCAGAAGCAGCUGCGGCUAACUACGUGCCAGCAGCCGCGGUAAUACGUAGGCAGCAAGCGUUGUUCGGAGUUACUGGGCGUAAAGGGUGUGUAGGCGGUCUUCUAAGUUUGGUGUGAAAUCUCCCGGCUUAACCGGGAGGGUGCGCCGAAAACUGGAAGGCUAGAGUGCGGGAAGGGAGAGUAGAAUUCCUGGUGUAGCGGUGAAAUGCGUAGAUAUCAGGAGGAAUACCGGUGGUGCAGACGGCUCUCUGGACCGCAACUGACGCUGAAACACGAAAGCGUGGGUAGCAAACAGGAUUAGAUACCCUGGUAGUCCACGCCCUAAACGAUGCAUAUUUGGUGUGGGUCAUUCAGUUGAUCCGUGCCGGAAGCUACGCGUUUAAUAUGCCGCCUGGGGAGUACAGUCGCAAGGCUGAAACUUAA
rnacentral:rRNA from 1 species